rnacentral:rRNA from 1 species
GACGAACGCUGGCGGCGUGCCUAAUACAUGCAAGUGGGACGCAAGGGAACACACUGUGCUUGCACACCGUGUUUUCUUGAGUCGCGAACGGGUGAGUAACGCGUAGGUAACCUGCCUAUUAGCGGGGGAUAACUAUUGGAAACGAUAGCUAAUACCGCAUAAUAUUAAUUAUUGCAUGAUAAUUGAUUGAAAGAUGCAAGCGCAUCACUAGUAGAUGGACCUGCGUUGUAUUAGCUAGUUGGUAAGGUAAGAGCUUACCAAGGCGACGAUACAUAGCCGACCUGAGAGGGUGAUCGGCCACACUGGGACUGAGACACGGCCCAGACUCCUACGGGAGGCAGCAGUAGGGAAUCUUCGGCAAUGGACGAAAGUCUGACCGAGCAACGCCGCGUGAGUGAAGAAGGUUUUCGGAUCGUAAAGCUCUGUUGUAAGUCAAGAACGUGUGUGAGAGUGGAAAGUUCACACAGUGACGGAGCUACCAGAAAGGACGCA